rnacentral:rRNA from 1 species
UACAGAGGGUGCAAGCGUUAAUCGGAAUUACUGGGCGUAAAGGGCGCGUAGGCGGCCUGUUAAGUCGGACGUGAAAUCCCUCGGCUCAACCGGGGAACUGCGUCCGAUACUGGCGGGCUUGAAUUCGGGAGAGGGAUGUGGAAUUCCAGGUGUAGCGGUGAAAUGCGUAGAUAUCUGGAGGAACACCGGUGGCGAAGGCGGCAUCCUGGACCGACAUUGACGCUGAGGCGCGAAAGCCAGGGGAGCAAACAGG